ensembl:lncRNA
GGAUGGGGACAGACGGACAGACACGGACAGGAACAGAUGGGGACAGACGGACAUAUGGGGCCAGAUGGGGAUAAGGACAGACAGACAGACAGACCGGGACAGACAGACGGACGUGGAGGGGGACAGACGGACAUAGGGAGAAGGGGACACAGAUGGGGACGGACAGACAGACAGUGAUAAGGACAGACAGACAUGGAUGGGGACAGACAGACACAGAUGGGGACAGACAGACGGACGUGGAUGGGGACAGACGGACAUAUGGGGCCAGAUAGGGAUAAGGACAGACAGACAGAUGGACCGGGACAGACAGACGGACGUGGAGGGGGACAGACGGACACUGAUGGGGACAGACGGACGGACGGGGACUGGGACAGAUGGGGACAGACAGACAGACGGGGAUAAGGACAGACAGACGGACAGACCGGGACAGACAGACGGACGUGGAGGAGGACAGACAGACACGGAUAGGGACAGACGGACAGACGGGGACAGGGACAGAUGGGGACAGAAAGACAGAUGGGGAUAAGGACAGACAGACGGACGUGGAGUGGGACAGACGGACAUAUGGGGACAGAUGGGGACAGACAGAGACAGAUGGGGAUAAGGACAGACAGACAGACAGACCGGGACAGACAGACAGACGUGGAGGGGGACAGACGGACAGACGGGGAGGGGGACAGAUGGGGACAGACGGACAGAUGGCGAUAAGGACAGACAGACGGACGUGGAGGAGGACAGACGGACACAGAUAGGGACAGAUGGACAUAUGGGGCCAGAUGGGGAUAAGGACAGACAGACAGACAACAGACAGACAGACGGACGUGCAGCGGGACAGACGGACAGACGGGGACAGAUGGGGAUAAGGACAGACAGACGGACGUGGAGGAGGACAGACGGACAUAGGGAGAAGGGGACACAGAUGGGGACGGACAGACAGACAGUGAUAAGGACAGAUGGACAUGGAUGGGGACAGACAGACACAGAUGGGGACAGACGGACACAGAUGGGGACAGACAGACGGACGUGGAUGGGGACAGACAGACACAGAUGGGGACAGACGGACACAGAUGGGGACAGACAGACGGACACAGAUGGGGACAGACAGACAUGGAUGGGGACAGACAGACAGACAUGGAUGGGGACAGACAGAUGGACACGGAUGGGGACAGACAGACGGACAUGGAUGGGGACAGACAGACACAGAUGGGGACAGACGGACAGACGGAGACGGAUGGGGAUAUGGACAGACAGACGGACAGAUGGGGACAGACGGACACAGAUGGGGACAGACGGACGGACGUGGAUGGGGACAGACGGCGAUGGGGACAUAUGGGACCGGGACAGACAGACGGACGUGGAGGAGGACAGACAGACACGGAUAGGGACAGACGGACAGACGGGGACAGGGACAGAUGGGGACAGAAAGACAGAUGGGGAUAAGGACAGACAGACGGACGUGGAGUGGGACAGACGGACACAGAUAGGGACAGAUGGACAUAUGGGGCCAGAUGGGGAUAAGGACAGACAGACAGACAACAGACAGACAGACGGACGUGCAGCGGGACAGACGGACAGACGGGGACCGGGACAGAUGGGGACAGACGGACAGACGGCGAUAAGGACAGACAGAUGGACAGGGAUGGGGACAGACAGACAGACGUGGAUGGGGACAGACGGCAUAGGGACAUACGGGGCCAGAUGGGGAUAAGGACAGACGGACGGACACGGAUGGGGACAGACGGACAGACGGGGACAGGGACAGAUGGGGACAGACGGACAGAUGGGGACAGAUGGGGAUAAGGACAGACAGACGGACAUGGAUGGGGACAGACGGCAGUGGGGACAGAUGGGGAUAAGGACAGACAGACAGACAUGGAGGGGGACAGACGGACAGACGGGGACAGAUGGGGAUAAGGACAGACAGACGGACGUGGAUGGGGACAGACGGACAGACGGGGACAGGGACAGAUGGGGACAGACGGACAUAUGGGGCCAGAUGGGGAUAAGGACAGACAGACAGACAGACCGGGACAGACAGACGGACGUGGAGGGGGACAGACGGACACAGAUGGGGACAGACAGACAGACAUGGAGGAGGAGAGACAGACACAGACAGAUGGGGACAGACAGACACAGAUGGGGACAGACAGACGGACGUGGAUGGAUGGGGAUAAGGACAGACAGACGGACGUGGAGGGGGACAGACGGACAUAUGGGGACCGGGACAGAUGGGGACAGACAGACGGACGUGGAGGGGGACAGACGGACAGACGGGGACCGGGACAGAUGGGGACAGACGGACAGAUGGCGAUAAGGACAGACAGAUGGACAGGGAUGGGGACAGACAGACAGACGUGGAUGGGGACAGACGGCAUAGGGACAUACGGGGCCAGAUGGGGAUAAGGACAGACGGACGGACACGGAUGGGGACAGACGGACAGAUGGGGACAGGGACAGAUGGGGACAGACGGACAGAUGGGGACAGAUGGGGAUAAGGACAGACAGACCGACGUGGAGGGGGACAGACGGACAUGGGGAGAAGGGGACACAGAUGGGGACGGACAGACAGACGGACAUGGAUGGGGACAGACAGACACAGAUGGGGACAGAUGGAUGGACACAGAUGGGCACAGACAGACAGACAUGGAGGGGGACAGACGGAC